GAUGAACGCUGGCGGCGUGCCUAAUACAUGCAAGUCGAGCGAACAGACGAGGAGCUUGCUCCUUUGACGUUAGCGGCGGACGGGUGAGUAACACGUGGGUAACCUACCUAUAAGACUGGGAUAACUUCGGGAAACCGGAGCUAAUACCGGAUAAUAUUUCGAACCGCAUGGUUCGAUAGUGAAAGAUGGCUCUGCUAUCACUUAUAGAUGGACCUGCGCCGUAUUAGCUAGUUGGUAAGGUAACGGCUUACCAAGGCAACGAUACGUAGCCGACUUGAGAGGGUGACGGCCCACACGGGAACGAAGCCACGGUCCAGCCCCCAAGGGGGGGCAGAAGUGGGAAUUCUUCCGAAAUGGGAGAAGGCCUGAGGGACCAACGCCGGGGGGGUAAUGAAGGUCUUGGGAUCUAAAAACUUUGUUAUUAGGAAAAAAAAACCGUUAAAGUACCUGUGCACGUCUAGAGGGUACCUAAUAAGAAAGCCAGGGCAAACUACGUG
rnacentral:rRNA from 1 species